CUACGGAGGAUGCGAGCGUUAUCCGGAUUUAUUGGGUUUAAAGGGUGCGCAGGCGGGCGAUUAAGUCAGCGGUGAAAGGCUCGGGCUCAACCGGAGCAGUGCCGUUGAUACUGGUUGUCUUGAAUGCGGUCAAGGCCGGCGGAAUGUGGCGUGUAGCGGUGAAAUGCAUAGAUAUGCCACAGAACACCGAUAGCGAAGGCAGCUGGCCGGGCCUGCAUUGACGCUCAGGCACGAAAGCGUGGGGAUCGAACAGGAUUAGAUACCCUGGUAGUCCACGCUGUAAACGAUGGACACUCGUUGUCGGCGACAGACAGUCGGCGGCCAAGCGAAAGUGAUAAGUGUCCCACCUGGGGAGUACGGUCGCAAGGCUGAAACUUAAAGGAAUUGACGGGG
rnacentral:rRNA from 1 species